UACGUAGGGUCCGAGCGUUGUCCGGAAUUAUUGGGCGUAAAGAGCUCGUAGGCGGUUUGUCGCGUCUGCCGUGAAAGUCCGGGGCUCAACUCCGGAUCUGCGGUGGGUACGGGCAGACUAGAGUGAUGUAGGGGAGACUGGAAUUCCUGGUGUAGCGGUGGAAUGCGCAGAUAUCAGGAGGAACACCGGUGGCGAAGGCGGGUCUCUGGGCAGUAACUGACGCUGAGGAGCGAAAGCGUGGGGAGCGAACAGG
rnacentral:rRNA from 1 species